GGGGAAGCACUCUGAUCCACGAUGUCCUGCGAGCUGAUCAAUCAGCUUCACGCUGGAAAUAACCAUAUAAAAACCUGAACUCAAAGAAGAGAACUGGAAUAAUCCUCCCUUAUCCCACUUCCCAUGGUGAGCCCCAGCUGGGACGCUGACACAUGGCCCCAACUUUUCCUCCUGCCUGAUGUCUGGACCCACAGGGGACAGAUGGUGGUCCCUGGUCACUGAAGUACCC
rnacentral:lncRNA from 1 species